rnacentral:rRNA from 1 species
CCUACGGGAGGCAGCAGUGAGGAAUAUUGGUCAAUGGGCGGAAGCCUGAACCAGCCAAGUAGCGUGCAGGAUGACGGCCCUACGGGUUGUAAACUGCUUUUAUACGGGAAUAACGCGCCUUACGUGUAGGGCUUUGCAUGUACCGUAUGAAUAAGGACCGGCUAAUUCCGUGCCAGCAGCCGCGGUAAUACGGAAGGUCCGGGCGUUAUCCGGUUUUAUUGGGUUUAAAGGGAGCGUAGGCCGCAUGUCAAGCGUGCUGUGAAAUGUCCGGGCUCAACCCGGGCCUUGCAGCGCGAACUGGCGUGCUGGAGGCCGCGGAAGGCAGGCGGAAUUCUCCGUGUAGCGGUGAAAUGCUUAGAUACGACGAAGAACCCCGAUUGGGAAGGCAGCUUGCUGCAGCGGAACUGACGCUGAUGCUCGAAAGCGCGGGUAUCGAACAGGAUUAGAUACCCUAGAAGUC